CCUACGGGCGGCAGCAGUAGGGAAUCUUCCACAAUGGACGAAAGUCUGAUGGAGCAACGCCGCGUGAGUGAAGAAGGGUUUCGGCUCGUAAAGCUCUGUUGGUAGUGAAGAAAGAUAGAGGGAGUAACUGGCCUUGACUUGACGGUAACUACGGAGAAAGUCACGGCUAACUACGUGCCAGCAGCCGCGGUAAUACGUAGGGGGCAAGCGUUGUCCGGAUUGAUUGGGCGGAAAGCGAGUGCAGGCGGUUCUCUAAGUCUGAUGUGAAAGCCUUCGGCUCAACCGGAGAAUUGCAUCCGAAACUGUUGAACUUGAGUGCAGAAGAGGAGAGUGGAACUCCAUGUGUAGCGGUGCAAUGCGUAGAUAUUUGGAAGAACACCAGUGGCGAAGGCGGCUCUCUGGUCUGCAACUGACGCUGAGGCUCGAAAGCGUGGGUAGCGAACAGGAUUAGAUACCCCAGUAGUC
rnacentral:rRNA from 1 species